AACAAAAUUUUAUGACCCUGGCGGCAUGCUUUACACAUGCAAGUCGAACGGUAACAGGGAGCUUGCUCCGCUGACGAGUGGCGAACGGGUGAGUAAUAUAUCGGAACGUACCCAAGAGUGGGGGAUAACGUAGCGAAAGUUACGCUAAUAUCGCAUACGAUCUAAGGAUGAAAGCAGGGGACCGCAAGGCCUUGUGCUCCUGGAGCGGCCGAUAUCUGAUUAGCUAGUUGGUAGGGUAAAGGCCUACCAAGGCAUCGAUCAGUAGCUGGUCUGAGAGGACGACCAGCCACACUGGAACUGAGACACGGUCCAGACUCCUACGGGAGGCAUCAUUGGGGAAUUUUGGACAAUGGGCCCAUGCCUUGAUCUCACAUAUGCCUGCUUUU
rnacentral:rRNA from 1 species